CCCCACAUCCACGCUCGCUCCACCGCCAUAGCCGCAGCAAAAUAUCAAAUCGGAGCCGCGAAGCACCACAGAGAAAAAAAAAAUUCCCCUAGGGUUUCCACGCAAAAACCCUCCUGAAAUUCCCCCAAUUCCGCGCCGUCCCCCCGCCUCCUGGGCCCCGGAUUUAGGGUUUAUAUGCAUGGCUUCCGACCCUCCCGGCGACGGCGCCGGCGGGGAGGAGCCGACGCCGGAACCUGCCCCCGCCGUGGAGGCGCCGCCUGCUCCCGCCGUUCCGCCCAGGUCGCGCUGGGCCGAGGAGAUCAAGGUCUACACCCGUAAGCACCCCCGCAAAAACCCUAAACCUCCUCCUCCAGAACCAGCUCCCGGCCCCUCCCCCGCCUCCGCCCCCGCCCCCGCCCCCGCUCCUGCUCCUGCUCCUGCUCCCGCUCCCGCCCCCGCCCCCGCCCCUGCUCCUGCCCCUGCCUCCGCCCCUGUUCCUGCCCCCGCCCCCGCCCCCGUUCCUGCGCAGGCCCCGAAUCCCCUUUCCGAAACCUUAUCCUCGAUUCGCCGCAACAUCCGCCGCGCGGAGGCGGCAGGCGCUGCGGCGCGGCCCGAUCCGGCAGCGCCGGCCUCGGCUCCCACCCGGACCCCGUCUGGGGAACGCGGUGCCGCCUCGGGGGACCCCUCAUCCGGGCUGAACCGGGUCGGCGGCCGUAUUCCUAACGGCCACGGGGACGACCAGGCGGCCGCUGCAGCUGAGAAGGCUGAGAAAGCACGGAAGCGCAGGGUGAGGAGUGAGCUGCGGCGCCGGCUGGCGGGGGAGCUGGACCAGGUCCGCGUGCUCUCCAAGCGGCUGAAGGAGGCUGCCGAGGCCCUGGCGCAGCGGGAGGCUUCUGAGCCCGCGCCUUUGCCCUUGAUGGUGCUGCCAACACAACAGCAGGUGGUGGAGGCUGGUUAUGUGCAGCCACAUUUCUCAGCUGGUGAUAUGGCAGUGCCCAUGUCUGCUCAGGUUGCAGCUGCCGUUACUCCUGGCCGCACGCUGCUGCAGCGCAGACCACUAACCGUAUCCGUUAUUCAUAAUGAAGCCUUUGAAAAGGAGAAACGGACGCCAAAGGCCAAUCAAUUGUACCAAAAUUCGGAGUUCUUGCUUGCCAAGGAUAGGAUUCCUCCCGCAGAUUCACAUGGGCGCAAGAAAUCCAAGCACCACAAGAAGAAGCAUAGGUCACUAGAAUCUCGUGGCGCAGACUUUGAUGCUGAGCGGCGGCUCUACUCUCAUGCGUUCAAGAAGUCCUCAUCACUUCUGAGCCGCCUAAUGAAGCACAAGUUUGGGUGGGUGUUCAACAAGCCUGUUGAUCCAGUUGCACUUGGUUUGCAUGAUUAUUUUACUAUUAUCAAACACCCAAUGGAUCUUGGCACGAUAAGGGGACGGCUCAGCCAUGGGCAGUACAGGAACCCGAAGGAGUUCGCUGAGGAUGUCCGGCUCACUUUCCAUAAUGCGAUGACAUAUAACCCCAAGGGUCAGGAUGUGCAUUUCAUGGCGGAGCAGUUGUCAGGAAUCUUUGAGGCACAGUGGCCUGAGAUUGAGGCUGAGGUUAACUACCUCGCAUCAUGUCCUCCAUUGCCGAAGAAGUUUCCACCUCCACCAAUUGACCUGCGCUUCCUAGAGAGGUCAGAUUCGAUGAGACACCACAUGGCAUUGGACACCAAUUCAAGACCGAUCAGUCAUACUCCCACUUAUACCCGGACUCCAUCAAUGAAGAAACCAAGGGCAAAGGAUCCAAAUAAGAGGGACAUGACAAUAGAUGAGAAGCGUAAGCUUAGUGAGAACCUCCAGAAUUUGCCGCCAGAGAAGCUUGAUGCUGUUGUGCAAGUCAUUAAGAACAAGAACCUAUCAGUUAUGCAGCAUGAUGAUGAGAUUGAGGUUGAAAUUGAUAGCAUGGAUGCUGAGACACUUUGGGAGCUUGACAGGUUUGUGGCCAACUACAAGAAGAACCUGAGCAAGCAAAAGAGAAAGGCUGAGCGAGCGAUGCUUGCCAGACAAGAUGCAGAGUUGCGUGCACAGCACCAGCACCAGCACCAGCACCCUAUACAACCACCGCAACCAAUCUCAGCCACCCAAGAACCUGUUGGUGAAAAAUCUCCAAAGCAAGCUGCGAAAGAUUCGCUGGCAGGCAAGCAACCGCCAACGUCUGCGCCAGAACAAAAUGAGGAGAACAGACAGAAUGCAAGUAGUUCAAGCAAUUCAAGCAGCUCCAGCAGUGACUCAGGAUCAUCUUCUAGUGGUAGUACUUCUCUCAACUUCCCUUGCUGCUGUUUAGCUCAUAACUGCUACUUAAAGAGCUUAGUAGCCUGAUCAUGUAACAUUCUUUUGGCAGACUCAGACAGUGAUAGCUCCUCUUCAGAUGGAUCUGAUGCUGGCAAUUCAUCUUGAGAUAUAGGUUCAGAAGUUUUGUCGAGUAGACAAUAACUGUCUAUUUGACGUGGCAAUGGCACCAUAAGAUUGUACAUGCUUACCUUGUCUGGCUUAGGAAACCUCCUGUAUUUUUAGUAGCUUUUGUAUGUGGAUUCACCCGCCGGAGGCAGUAACUUGUAGGUUUGUGGUGUACCCGCCUAAUAAGACUAGGCUUGUUGCUGACACCGUUCAUCGUACACCGCACUGUUGCUAGGAGCCCUCUGGUUGGCUCAGUACACAUUAGCGGCAGCUUGAACAUCGAUUCUGUUUAGCUGUAUGCAUUGUUUCUUCCUUUUGUUAACUGACUGAUGAAAGCAUUGACAAGCCAUAUAACCCCCCGUUGGUGUUUUAGUUUGCCGCCAUCUUUCUGUGGAGUACCAGUUAACUGUUGUGGCUUCAUUA